ACUUCGCCUUGACUUCAGCGAAGAAAAACUCCGAGCGAAAAGGAAAAAGGAAGGCAACGGACUAUGACAGCUACGAUUGGAAAACGGACAGCGAUCGAGGUACAGAAAACUCUGUCACCGCAAGGACUGGGGCUCCCACAGGGAGUCCCAGCUUUUGAGAAAGUUUUCGACACAAAACAGGACAACCUACUUAGGGUGACAGAAGCUCGGAUCCCCGAACUCAAGCCCUAGGAGGGACCCCAGGCCCGAUUGGCCCCAAGCAAGCCCGCAGCCAUUGACGUGAAAAUGACAACCAGGUAUCUUCGAACGGC
rnacentral:lncRNA from 1 species